AUGUGGCAUCUGAACAAGUGAUAGCUGCUGACAACAACAACAAGCAUUUUUAUGGUGCAUUCAACGUAGUAAAAUGUCCCAGGGCAUUACACUGGAGAGUUACAUGACGCCGAACAACACAAGGAACUGUUAAGGAAAGGGCCAAUCAUACUCAGCACUUCAGACGGAACAGGCUGCAUCGAAAACCUCAAACUUACUGGUGCUUCAAGCUGUGGGCAGGCAAACAAAGUGGCAACAGGCGUGUGAGAACAGCUGGGAAAUACUCACUCUGGACAGAUGCAUGAAGAGAUCAGCCAUGGACACUGGUGACUCUGCCUCCUGUGUAAGUACCUUAGCUUGUACUGAGUAAGGUCCUUUUUAUCCUCCCUCAUCAUUACGAAAAGCAUCCAAAAGUAGCACUGUUAUGUAGCUUGAAGAUAUGAAGCUUGCUGAAUAUCUACUGAGGUAAAUGAAGGUAAUAUACAGCCACAUAAAAUCAUGAGCGUCAAGUUUAUUUAAUCAGGGUUACUAAUCUCUGGGGCUUUUUGAGGCCUACAAUAUCAGGUAUUCCUCUCUUUGAUUGUGUGUGCUGCUUUAGAGAGACAGGAUGAUAAUUAGCAAAUUAAAAAUAUUUGUGGGUGUGUUGCAAGAUGGACUGAGGAUGGGGCAAUGGUGAAUUGAAAGUCAAGUAUGUAGAACAUGAAGAGAGGAAGGAAUGCUGGGAGGAAUUAGUGGUUGUGCAAGCGGGUUUGAGAAGAGAAUGGUGUAAAAAUGUGAUCUGAAGAAGAAGGAGUGUGUGUGCUUGGAAUGAGAAAUAGAGGUGUGACUGGGUGCUAUUGUGAUUGGAUGUCGAGGGGAGGGAAUUAUUGAAAAUAGUAGGGAGAGUGAAAGGAGAAGAGGCAGAUAUUGUUGAUGGUGAUGGAGACAGAUGUGUUGCACUUACCCUUGCUAUUCCUAUGAGCUCAUUGCAACUUUUCCUAUAGUACAACCAGUCUAGAACUGAUGCUACUGAUACUAACUCUCUGGGUCACCUCUAUCUUGGCCUGUGGGAAAGGUUGCUUUAUGAGCAAUAGAGAGACAACACCUGUAAAUUUUGGGGCAGCCUAAUGCUGUUUCUUCAAACAAUGACAGAGAAAAACCUAGAAUUAAAGAACAAACUUUGCUGUGCUGUUUUACAGGUGUAUUAGCACACUCAUGAGAGAUACUUCAUUGAAGUGGGUGGGCUUUCCAUUUCCUAACACAAUCGUAUGGCCAGUUUAUUGCAAGAGGCACGCAGGACUGGGUCUCACAGUCAUGACACCAUGAGGGCUUUUGGUUCGGGUAACUGAAGGCUGGGAAGAGGGGAAAACAGAAUCCGGCAGUGGUGGGAAAAGAGGGUGGGAAUGGGCAAAUAGGAGAUCAGAUGUCAGGUUGGGGGAGGGGAAAUCAUGUGGGUUACCUACCCACUCCUGCCAAUACUAACUCUCCUGUGAGACUGAGUACUUUCACCUUUUAGCCUUUUAGUUUUGUGACAGACUGAUAAUACAUUUCCAACUUCGAAAGUUACCAAAUAUUUGGCAGUAAAAAGUUAACACAAAACAAACACCUAAACUUUUGAAGGAUUGGCCAGAAUUCACUAUCAAAAGGACCUGUCCAGGAAGCAGCCUAGAUCACCAUAUAGAACAGGUUCAUCCGCUGUGCUCCUCCUGGUCAAGUAGAUCCAACAUCUGUGUUCCUCCUUGAAAUUAACCACCAGGGACUGGUAUUGGAUGGCAGCCAACUCCUAGAGAACCAACAAGCAAUGAGGAGAGGAAAAGAGAAAGAAAGAUCCAACAUUAUGAUAAAUUUUCACUCUGAGGAUAAGACUUGUAUAUUAUGUAUAGCAUAUGUGUGUAUAUAUAUAUAUAAAAUACUGUCGGAAAAAAUGUCAGUAAAAAACAAUCUUCCCUCACUGUCUGUGUCUGUGUCCUAUAUGACAAUCCCAGGAACAUUAAACUGAUCCCUGUCUGUUCUCACCUUUCUGCUUAUAAAUUGUCACACCUAGAAAGCCCCAUGAUAACUACCAUAUGGCAAUUGUGAGCUGAAACACAUUUGUUUUGACAGAACUAAUGAGUGCCUCAUCCCUAAUAAACGUAA